rnacentral:rRNA from 1 species
AACGAACGCUGGCGGUGUGCUUAACACAUGCAAGUCGAACGAGAAAGUUUCCUUCGGGAAACUAGUAAAGUGGCGCAAGGGUGAGUAACACGUGAAUAAUCUGCCCUCGAGAUCGGGAUAACUUGGCGAAAGCUAAGCUAAUACCGGAUAAGACCACAUUUCAUAAGAAAUGCGGGAAAAGGAGUCUCAACCUUCACUCGAGGAUGAGUUCGCGGACCAUUAGCUUGUUGGUGAGAUAAAAGCUCACCAAGGCUACGAUGGAUAGCCGGCCUGAGAGGGUGAUCGGCCACACUGGAACUGAGACACGGUCCAGACUCCUACGGGAGGCAGCAGUGGGGAAUAUUGCGCAAUGGGCGAAAGCCUGACGCAGCAACACCGUGUGAGCGAUG